GAAAUGCGAUAAGUAGUGUGAAUUGCAGAAUUCAGUGAAUCAUCGAAUCUUUGAACGCACAUUGCGCCCCUUGGUAUUCCAUGGGGCAUGCCUGUUCGAGCGUCAUCUACACCCUCAAGCUCUGCUUGGUGUUGGGCGUCUGUCCCGCCUGCGGGCGGUAGACUCGCCCCGAAUGCAUUGGCAGCGUCCCUUGCCCCCUCUCGCGCAGCACAUUGCGCUUCUCGAGGGCGGCCCCGGGGCGCGACCCACCGAAGAUGACCACCGUCUUUGACCUCGGAUCAGGUAGGGAUACCCGCUGAACUUAA
rnacentral:misc_RNA from 1 species